UACAGGGGGUGCAAACGUUGCUCGGAAUUAUUGGGCGUAAAGCGCACGUAGGCGGUUCGUUAUGUCAGAUGUGAAAGCCCUUGGCUCAACUGAGGAAGUGCAUCUGAAACUGGCGAGCUAGAGUACGUAAGAGGGUCGCGGAAUUCCCGGUGUAGAGGUGAAAUUCGUAGAUAUCGGGAGGAGCACCGGUGGCGAAGGCGGCGACCUGGGACGAUACUGACGCUGAGGUGCGAAAGCGUGGGGAGCAAACAGG
rnacentral:rRNA from 1 species